rnacentral:tRNA from 1 species
CUCCCGAUGGUGUAGCUGGUGAUCACGUUCGACUGUAAAUCGAAAAGUCGCCGAUUCGACUUCGGCUCGGGAGA